GAUGAAGAACGCAGCGAAAUGCGAUAAGUAGUGUGAAUUGCAGAAUUCAGUGAAUCAUCGAAUCUUUGAACGCACAUUGCGCCCCUUGGUAUCCCGAGGGGCAUGCCUGUUCGAGCGUCAUUUCACCACUCAAGCCUGGCUUGGUGUUGGGCGACGUCCUCUUUGGGGACGCGCCUCGAAACGCUCGGCGGCGUGGCACCGGCUUUAGGCGUAGCAGAAUCUUUCGCUUUGGAAGUCGGGGCCCCGUCUGCCGGAAGACCUGCUCGCAAGGUUGACCUCGGAUCAGGCAGGGAUACCCGCUGAACUUAAGCAUAUCAAUAAGCGGAGGA
rnacentral:misc_RNA from 1 species